UCGAGGAGCCCUACGUCCUGCGAGUGAACGUGGCCCUCACCGCGCUCUACGCCAUCGCGUGCGUCGCGUUCGUCGUCGGCUUCUGCCUCCUGGG
rnacentral:pre_miRNA from 1 species